UCAAUGAGUGGAGCUUUGAUG
rnacentral:miRNA from 1 species